rnacentral:lncRNA from 1 species
GGAUCCACCACGCCAGUAAAGUCUGUGAGCCCCGGCGAGCCUAAACCCAUAAUAAAGCCCUUUGCUUUUGCAUGCGUGCCUCGGCCUCCCUGGCGGUCUCUGGUUUUUUGGGGGCGAUAUUAAAAUCUGGGCAUAACAGAAGCUGCAGGGAGAGGAAGGCGGGGGCAGCCUGGCAGCCCCCCUACCCCGGGCUGGAGAAGACAGACCCCUGUUGGGUCAGGUAGGUGGCUGGCCUCCCUAAGCCUCUAAGAAGCCCUCGGGAUCUCGGCAGGAACAGAAUUUGCAACCGGCUCUUGGAAGAACAGAACCCAAUCCCUGCCCUAAGACCCUUAGACUCGGGCUGGGUCAGGACCGACCUGGGGCCUCGCUCCCAAUCCGAGGCGGCCGUGGCCCCAUCGGCUCUCGUCCCUCCACCGUACCCAGCCCCUGCUGAGAGACCAGCGACGGCUUCCUAAGAAGGGCGCUCCUCUUCUGGCAGAUAUUCUGGACCCGAGCCUCCAGCAGAAAGGGAAGUCCCGUCACUACGCCAGAGAGUAGCUCCCCUGGAGCAAGGCAGAAGCUUCCAGACUGGACGGCUGCUGCUCUGCUGCCCUACCAAGGGAACCAACGGGGCUGCCUGGCUGCCUGAGUCGCUGCAGAGGAAUGACUGGCCUGGGGCUGGCCUGGGGAGGGGACUCUAUCGAUGCAGCAGGCCGUCCCUAGCAUCCCCACUUGCGGGGAGGUGCUCCUGGAAGACACUGCUAAGUGGAGGGAUUUUAGUCUGGGGGAUAGAGAGAAGAGAGCAGGGAACUGAUUUUUCAGUUCCGAUACGAUAUGUCUGUAAUUCCUCUCUGCAUAAAUUACUUAUUCAUCAUGCAAACGGACUAGUAAGUCGUAUUAGCCCCCAUUUUACAGAAGGGAAAACUGAGGUCUCACAGCUUGGAAGUCAUGCGGCCAGGAUCCCAAGGGGCCUGUCCUAUCCUGAAGCCAUGUACUUUCUCCCACAUCACCCUCCCAGAAGAACCAGAGACUUCCUCUGGUUGAGUGGGGCUCCCCCAAGGAGUAAUAAAUUAUUGGGUGUGGGGCAGAGAGCAAAAGUAGAGUCUGGUCAAUGGUCC